AAGUCGUAACAAGGUUUCCGUAGGUGAACCUGCGGAAGGAUCAUUAACACGUAUCCACGUAUCCACCCACUGUGCACUUGUUUUCCCCUUCUCCCUGCCGACGACAUGAAUGGGCCCUUUUCUAGGGACAGCGAGAGAAUGAAUGGGAGUCUCCCUUUUUUCUUUUAAUUUGGGUCGACUCGAUCUCGCUUUCCUGACGCGCUCUUCGGAGCGAACCAUUGUAGUCGCCUCGUGUAGGACCCAAUGUCUGCUCGGGACACCACUCACCGUUCAUGAGUGCGCCGAGUGGGCGAUCAACCAUCACACACUAAUCACACCCUUUUUUGCUAGUUGACUUUUUUAUGUUGUCGUUCACGUCGUUAUGAUGUGACUGCACACGUUUCUUAAUUGAACGAAAAUGUACAACUCUUAGCAAUGGAUAUCUUGGUUCUC
rnacentral:misc_RNA from 1 species